rnacentral:tRNA from 1 species
GGAACUGUGCCCGAAUUAUUAAGGGUUACUUUGAUAGAGUAAACUACAGAGGUUAAAAUCCUCUCACUUCCU